AGAGUUUGAUCAUGGCUCAGGACGAAUGCUGGCGGCGUGCUUAACACAUGCAAGUGGAGCGACGAACCGGGCUUCGGCCCGGGGCAAAGCCGCGAACGGGUGAGUAUCACGUGGGUAACCUGCCCCGAUGACCGGGAUAACCCGAGGAAACUCGAGCUAAUACCGGAUGUGCUCCCAAUCCAUCAGGGUUGGAAGUAAAGGAAGCUUCGGCCUCCGCAUUGGGAUGGGCCCGCGGCCCAUUAGCUUGUUGGUGAGGUAACGGCUCACCAAGGCAACGAUGGGUAGCUGGUCUGAGAGGACGAUCAGCCACACUGGGACUGAGACACGGCCCAGACUCCUACGGGAGGCAGCAGUGGGGAAUCUUGCGCAAUGCGCGAAAGCGUGACGCAGCAACGCCGCGUGAGGGAAGAAGGCUUUCGGGUUGUAAACCUCUUUCAGGAGGGACGAAGGUUCAGGCGCGAAUAGCGUCCUGGACUGACGGUACCUCCAGAAGAAGCCCCGGCUAACUACGUGCCAGCAGCCGCGGUAAUACGUAGGGGGCUAGCGUUGUCCGGAAUCAUUGGGCGUAAAGCGCGCGUAGGCGGCCCGGUAAGUCCGCUGUGAAAGUCAAAGGCUCAACCUUUGAAUGUCAGCGGAUACUGCCGGGCUAGAGUCCGGAAGAGGCGAGUGGAACUCCUGGUGUAGCGGUGGAAUGCGCAGAUAUCAGGAAGAACACCAACGGCGAAGGCAGCUCGCUGGGACGGAACUGACGCUAAGGCGCGAAGGCGUGGGGAGCGAACAGGAUUAGAUACCCUAGUAGUCC
rnacentral:rRNA from 1 species